rnacentral:rRNA from 1 species
UGGGGAAUAUUGGACAAUGGGCGAAAGCCUGAUCCAGCCAUGCCGCGUGAGUGAUGAAGGCCCUAGGGUUGUAAAGCUCUUUCAACGGUGAAGAUAAUGACGGUAACCGUAGAAGAAGCCCCGGCUAACUUCGUGCCAGCAGCCGCGGUAAUACGAAGGGGGCUAGCGUUGUUCGGAAUUACUGGGCGUAAAGCGCACGUAGGCGGAUACUUAAGUUAGGGGUGAAAUCCCGGGGCUCAACCCAGGAACUGCCUCUAAUACUGGGUAUCUCGAGUUCGAGAGAGGUGAGUGGAAUUCCGAGUGUAGAGGUGAAAUUCGUAGAUAUUCGGAGGAACACCAGUGGCGAAGGCGGCUCACUGGCUCGAUACUGACGCUGAGGUGCGAAAGCGUGGGGAGCAAACA